CGUUGAUUGGAACCCACACCUAGUGCCCAACGUUUACGGCAUGGACUACCAGGGUAUCUAAUCCUGUUUGCUACCCAUGCUUUCGCUCCUCAGCGUCAGUUUCAGUCCAGAGCGGCGCCUUCGCCACCGGUGUUCCUCCUAAUAUCUGCGCAUUUCACCGCUACACUAGGAAUUCCCCGCUCCCCUCCUGAACUCAAGUCACAGCAGUAUCGGAUGGCCUCUCCGGGUUGAGCCCAGAGUUUUAACACCCGACUUACUAAACCGCCUACGAGCUCUUUACGCCCAAUAAAUCCGGACAACGCUUGGAGCCUACGUGUCACCGCGGCUGCUGGCACGUAGUUGGCCGCUCCUUCUUCUGCAGGUACCGUCAUUUUCGUUCCUGCUGAAAGCAGUUUACAGCCCGAAGGCUUCAUCCCGCA
rnacentral:rRNA from 1 species